AGUGAACGCUGGCGGUAGGCCUAACACAUGCAAGUCGAACGGCAGCACAGGAGAGCUUGCUCUCUAGGUGGCGAGUGGCGGACGGGUGAGGAAUACAUCGGAAUCUGCCCAGUCGUGGGGGAUAACGUAGGGAAACUUACGCUAAUACCGCAUACGACCUUCGGGUGAAAGAGGGGGAUCGCAAGACCUCUCGCGAUUGGAUGAGCCGAUGUCGGAUUAGCUUGUUAGCGGGGUAAUGGCCCACCAAGGCGACGAUCCGUAGCUGGUCUGAGAGGAUGAUCAGCCACACUGGAACUGAGACACGGUCCAGACUCCUACGGGAGGCAGCAGUGGGGAAUAUUGGACAAUGGGCGCAAGCCUGAUCCAGCCAUACCGCGUGGGUGAAGAAGGCCUUCGGGUUGUAAAGCCCUUUUGUUGGGAAAGAAAUCUUUCAGGCUAAUACCCUGGGAGGAUGACGGUACCCAAAGAAUAAGCACCGGCUAACUUCGUG
rnacentral:rRNA from 1 species